rnacentral:rRNA from 1 species
AUUGAACGCUGGCGGCAGGCCUAACACAUGCAAGUCGAACGAGUGGCGGACGGGUGAGUAAUGUCUGGGAAACUGCCUGAUGGAGGGGGAUAACUACUGGAAACGGUAGCUAAUACCGCAUACCCUCGGAUGUGCCCAGAUGGGAUUAGCUAGUAGGUGGGGUAAAGGCUCACCUAGGCGACGAUGCCGAGCUGGUCUGAGAGGAUGACCCGCCACACUGGAACGGAGACACGGUCCAGAUGCCUACGGGCGGCAGCAGUGGGGAAUAUUGCAAAAUGGGCGCAAGCCUGCUGCAGCCAUGCGGCGUGUAUGAAGAAGGCCUUCGCGUUGUAAAGUUCUUUCCGUGACGAGGCGUUAAUCCCAGCAGAAGCACCGGCUAACUCCGUGCCAGCAGCCGCGGUAAUUC